rnacentral:rRNA from 1 species
UACGAAGGGUGCAAGCGUUAUUCGGAAUCACUAGGCGUAAAGCGCAGGUAGGCGGUUUGGUAAGUCUAUUGUGAAAGCUCCCGGCUUAACUGGGAGAGGUCAAUGGAAACUACCAGGCUGGAGUGCGGUAGAGGUAGCUGGAAUUCCCGGUGUAGCGGUGAAAUGCGUAGAUAUCGGGAGGAAUACCUAUGGCGAAAGCAGGCUACUGGACCAUCACUGACACUGAUCUGCGAAAGCUAGGGGAGCAAACAGG